GGUUCCCCUUGAGACUUGUGCUUCAACUCUCAGGAAUGUGGCAGUUUAUUAUGGCAUUUGCCAGCUGAAAGUGCAAUGUAAGGUUAGAGCUGUGGAUGGGGUCAUCUCCUCUUCUUGUAGAGCCCGACGGAGAAUAAAAUCAAUGAAGAGGAAGAAAGGCAGAUUCCUGAUGCCGUCAUGUCAACCCCGGAUCUCACUCUGUGCCCUGAACUGCUCAGUUGUGUGCUCUAGGAAAAUCAACCCGACUCUUUCUUAGUUUGUCUGUUUAAGAUGGUUUGACCUGUGUUUUCUGACACUUGCAGCUGAAUUUUGAUUAACGGGGGAAUUGAACAGGAAACCAGUGAAGAGGCAGAAAAGGUUACAAUUACAGAGGGGCUGAAACAAAGCCAAAUUAUUGUGACUAGAGACGUAAGGAAGACCAUACACAUGAAACGCACAACACUGAGUGAAUUCCUUGGUAGGGUGGUGUUUUUGCUACUGGUUGAGGUGGUCAGAUUAUAAGACAGCAGCUAAAGGCAGCUUUUCAGAGCUUCAAUUGUCACUUAAAGAAUGCACGUAGGAAAAUUAAAAUAACUUUUUAAUUUUAAAAGUAAAAUAGCUUUUACAUAUAAAUAAUUUAAUUGAAUAGGGUGAAUUAUUCUUAGGCCUGCAUCAUGUAAUAAAUCUCCUAGUUCAUUAAAAAAUUCUGUGAUUGAGGAUAUUGGUAAACACAACAUCAAUUAUCAGUCAGGUUGGCCUUCCUCAUUUUAGAUACCUACCAGGCAAUCCCAAUGGCCAUUCCUUUAACACUUAGACUUGGGUUGGCAAAAGUUUAUGCUUUUACUGACAAGUGGAAGAAGAAGCUCUGAGCAAGUGUGGCAGACAGAAAACCUGUUUACCAGUAAUGCAGUUCAUAAAAUUAUUCCUGAGCACCUCCCAUAUGUGGAGAGGGGGCUUCCCGCUGAAAACCUGCCGCCUUGUGCUCCGCCUGCUCUGGCUCGGUUGACUGCGAGGACUCUUCGCGUCUCCAUGAGGGAGUUUGGACAGGACUUGUCAUCAUGGUUGGAAGAACUUUCUCUGAAUUCUCUUCGUGAGGAAGUUGAUGUCUUGGACACAGUAUUAUUUUCCUUUGAGGGACUGUUUCCUGUUAAAAGGAAUUUAGUUUUUCAUAAAGAACCUCCAAAUUUGCUAAAAACUGGUUUAAUAAUCUGUUUUAUUUCCUGUGUCAAGUAUCAAUGCGUGAAAAAUUUUUGAAUAUCAUGGUUAAUCCGUGGACUGCUGAACACAACAGACUGAGCAUCAUGUCAGAGGUGCACCUUGUGAUUUGUGAAAAAUGUUGAACCUACAGAAAAAUUGAAAAAGUAAUAUAAUCCUGGUAAUGUUUACUAGACUCGGUGAAUGUCUUCACAUUUUGCACUUUUGUGCACGAACACAUGCAAACAUCCCUGCCCCUCCAUCAGGAGUCGUUUGAGUCUGUCGCUCACAGUAAGAUUCAGGCUAAACAUCUUUGGAAAGACUGUAAAACAGCAGAGGCCGCAGUGCUUUUGGAUGAGAUCGGGAGGUGACAGGCAUCCCCUCUGACAUAAGUGAAGAACGUGGUGGUCCUCCCUCAGCUCAGGUGACAUGGGCGACCACUGCACAUCUGGGGAGGGGCUCGAAGAGUCAGUCACUCAGGG
rnacentral:lncRNA from 1 species